rnacentral:rRNA from 1 species
AGUUCGAUUUCAGCUCAGAUUGAACGCUCGGCGGGAUGCUUUACACAUGCAAGUAAGUCGAACGCACGGACUUUUCGGUCUGGUGGCGAGUGGCGGAAAAACGGUGAGUAAUGUAUCGGAACGUGCCUAGUAGCGGGGGAUAACUACGCGAAAGCGGGGCCAAUACCGCACAUUGCCCUUCGGGGGAAAGCGUGGGACCUUCGGGCCUCGCACUAUUAGGAGCGGCCGAUAUCGGAUUAGCUGAAGCAGGGUACCGGCUCACCAAGGCGAUGAUCCGUAGCUGGUUUGAGAGGACGACCAGCCACACUGUGGGACCGAGACACGGCCCAGACUCCCGCCACGGGAGGCAGCAGUGGGGAAUUUUGGACAAUGGGGAAACCCUGAUCCAGCCAUCCCGCGUGUGCGAUGAAGGCCUUCGCUGUAAAGACCAGCGGUAGAAACGGCACUGGAUAAUAUCCCAACCGGAUCCAGACCGGUAUGAACCAGCUACCCGGUUAACUACGUGCCAGCAGCCGCGGUAAUACGUAGGGUGCAAGCGUUAACCGGAAUUACUGGGCGUAAAGGCAGCUGCGGCAGGCGGCUCGGAAAGAAAUCCCAGAGCUUAACUUUGAACCGCAUUUUUAACUACCGAGCUAGAGUGUGUCGAGGGAGGUGGAACCCGCGUAGCAGUGAAAUAGAUAAAAGAGGAACACCGAUGGCGAAGGUAGCCUCCUGGAGCAAAAAAUCAGAUCUGAUGCUCGCGCACGAAAGCGUGGGAGCAAACAAGAUCGAUUUCGGUAGUCCACGCCCUAAACGAUGUCAAUCAUUAGCUGCUGCGGGGCCUUCGGCCUUUAGCGCAGGCAAGGGACAGAAAGCUAACGCGUGAAGUUGACCGCCUGGGGAGCAUGGUCGCAGAUUAAAACUCAAAGGAACGACGGGACCUGCAGCAAGCGGUGGAUGAUGUGAUUAAGCACCUGAUGCAACGAAAACCUUACCUACUCCUGACAUGUCUGGAAUCCCGAAGAGAUUUGGGAGUGCUCGCAAGAGAACCGGAACACAGGUGUCAGCAUGGCUGUCGCUGGCUCGUGUCGUGAGAUGUUGGGUUAAGUCCCAACAGAUGUGCGCAGCAACCUUUGUCAUUAGUUGCUACGAAAGGGCACUCUAAUGAGACUGCCGGUGACAAACCAGAGGAAGGUGACGAUGCCAAGUCCUCAUGGCCCUGUCAGCAGGAUGAACCUUUCCACGUCACACAAUGGUCGGGACAGAGGGUCGCCAACCCGCGAGGGGGAGCCAAUCCCAGAAACCCGACUCGUAGUCCGGUAGAUCGCAGUCUGCAACUCGACUCGCGUGAAGUCGGAAUCGCUAGUAAUCGCGGACUUCCAGCAUGUUUGGUGGAAUUACGUCCCCGGGUCUUGUACACACCGCCCGGGUCCACCACAUGGAGUGGUUUUACCAGAAGCAGUUAGCUCAACCGUAAGGAGUGGCGAUUACCACGGUAGGAUUCAUGACUGGGGUGAAGUCGUAACAAGGUAA